rnacentral:rRNA from 1 species
CAGCAGCCGCGGGAACACGAAGGGUGCAAGCGUUAAUCGGAAUUACUGGGCGUAAAGCGUGCGUAGGCGGUGAGUUAAGUCUGCUGUGAAAUCCCCGGGCUCAACCUGGGACCUGCAUUUGUGACUGUAUAGCUAGAGUACGGUAGAGGGGGAUGGAAUUCCGCGUGUAGCAGUGAAAUGCGUAGAUAUGCGGAGGAACACCGAUGGCGAAGGCAAUCCCCUGGACCUGUACUGACGCUCAUGCACGAAAGCGUGGGGAGCAAACAGGAUUAGAUACCCCAGUAGUCCCUGUCUCUUAUAC